ACACGACUACGUAGUUUGAUCAGUGCUCAGAGCACGCUGGCGGCAGGCCUAACACAUGCAAGUCGAACGAACUCUUCGGAGUUAGUGGCGGACGGGUGAGUAACGCGUGGGAAUCUACCCUAGAGCGGGGGACAACCCGGGGAAACCCGGGCUAAUACCGCAUACGUCCUACGGGAGAAAGAGGGCCUCUGCUUGCACGCUCUCACUCCAGGAUGAGCCCACGUCCGAUUAGCUAGUUGGUAGGGUAAAGGCCUACCAAGGCCACGAUCGGUAGCUGGUCUGAGAGGAUGAUCAGCCACACUGGGACUGAGACACGGCCCAGACUCCUACGGGAGGCAGCAGUGGGGAAUAUUGGACAAUGGGCGCAAGCCCGAUCCAGCAAUGCCGCGUGUGUGAAGAAGGCCUGCGGGUUGUAAAGCACUUUCAGUGGGGAAGAACAGAUUCGGGUCAAUACCCCGGAGCCCUGACGUUACCCACAGAAGAAGCACCGGCUAACUCCGUG
rnacentral:rRNA from 1 species